CAUAAUUCUGCAAAGAGGUUAUCCAGCAACUAUUGUAUUAGUGCUACUGGAGGUCAUUGCCUCAGUAUGCUGCCUUUGAAAUGGCUGCCAUAAAGAGAAACUUUAGCUGAAAACUAUUUCAAAAUAAUUUUCACACGGAACAAUGCAACACUCACAUCAUUUCCUGAAAGAAUUGAGUUGGAAGGCAAUUAUCUACUCACCAAACAGGCUAAAACAACAGUUCCUGAUAUUCUUCUCAAAUAUUUCAACUUCCCAGGAAUCCGGAAAAAAUAAUUCCAUGAGACGGUGUUAUGAAUGAAGGUAUGACAUUUCAGUUUCCUUCACUUAGAAUCAGACAUCCAGAGGUAAUAAAUUACUGUGCACUUGGCACGGCUGAGAGGGGGGUCUGGCUGUGGCAAAUUGUUUUUCUUCAGAACAGGAACAAUGAAGUGCUUUUACAUCCUUUUUUGUCCAGUGACAGGCAUGGUUUCUUUCUUAAUGGGCUCUCAGCAUCAGUUGCAUGAAUUACGUGUAUUAAAAACAGGAAUCUGACAGCAAAGUACCUUGAACCAAACUUGCUUAGAGAUAGGAAACUGUAAUAGAGAUGAGGGGUAAAAUAGUAUAUGAACUGCACUGCCACAGGAAGUUAACUUGAAAAAAAUGAGUAGUGAAAAAGCAUCUUUACCUCGUUCUUUUGUAUCUCAAGAGAAGCUACUUUUAGCAGCGUUAUCCUGCUCCCAUUUCUGUCAGUCUGAAAUGGCUAGCUACAACUGCUAUCCUUACUCAUUUUACAUAUUCUUUUUGGUUAGUGUGAAGGAAAGAAGAGUAAACGUACUGAGAAGCAUUCAGAUGAUGCUUUUGCAGGUACUUUAAGUGCGUAUUCAGUUUAUUCAUUAGUUAAUUCAUAUGUCAGUAGUUCUUAGAUGGGACUGUAAAUUUGGGUCAUUUUGUAGACAUACAGAAAAGUGAAAUGCUGCUCCUGGGAAGAGAGUUGACACUCUUGAUCUUGGAAGAGUUCACUAUUGGUAUUUAAUAACCAAGAAGAUUGAAAAUAUUUCUGAAGAAGCAUUUCUUUGGAUCAGAAGUGAAGCAUUUUGAUUACCGGUUCAGCCAGUAUUUAAAAGAAAAAAAUUUAAGAAAAAAAAAAUCUUUAAAAAAGUUGACUUUCUGGGGGCUGAUGUGUUGUCAACUGGUGUCUGGAUACAAGAGCAGACUUUCCCCAAUUAGCAGAUUGCGUGCCCUGUCUGGUUGGCCAACUUCACUGUUUAUGCGUCCUACACGUUACCGCAGUCGAGACUCAAAACAGUAAACGCCUCAGAACACCAAAAGUGCCAGAAGCCACCUUAUUUUUGUUGUUAUUUUGUGUAAUUAUACCUGGGAGGAUUGGAGAGUUCUAGCGCUUUUUUUCACUUUUUUUUUUCUUUUUUAUGACUUGUUUUUUUGCAUUUCAUAAACUCUUGGCAACGGGUACAACAGCUGCCUUUGCACUUACAGGAGAGGAGAUCGUCUAGGACAAGUAUACUUCCAGCAAUGAGUAGUCCCCUCUUUCAGCAUGCAGUGUGUCAGUGGUACGGUCAAGAAAAUGGGCAUCAGGUGUACGGCCUUCUCAUGUGUUGCGUGACCUCCCCUCAGGAGCUGUUUCCUGAGGGGCACAUUCACUUCUGUUUUUUGCCUUCUGUUAUUUAUGCUCUGUGCUAGACUUUGUAAUACUCACUGGUGCCCUCUGAGCGCUAACAUUCCUCUUUUACCCUCCUCAUCCCUGACUGUGCUCUCCCUCAAUAAGGAUAAAUCAGAGGUUGCCAGCUGAGUUCUUUUUUUUUUUAUUAUGAAAAGGUCAGCUUGUUUUACUUUAUGGUAGAAAGUCUAAGACUUUAAUGGAAAAGGUGGAUGUGGAGUUGUUUUCAUAGAGUUUAAGUAAGGUUAAGCAGAGUUCCCCCAAGGUUUGCACUAAUGCUGGCGCUAUUUAAUAUUUGAUUUGGAGAAAGGCGCAAACAGUGGGGUGGUAGAAUCAACAGAUGACAAAAAAUUACUCAGUCACAUUUAGAAAGGAUGAGAAGGAAAAGUAGAAGGACCUAACAAAGAGCAGGCAAUCUGACAUCAUGAUGGUGUCGUGAUCGCAGUGUAAUGUAAUUUAGAGAACAGUUUGGACUAUUCGUAUAUACUAGAUUUUAAAAUUACUGAAACCAUUCAGGAAAAAGAUAUGCAUGUUGCUGCAGAGAACUGAGUGAAAACAUCUCUUCAAUGUGCAGUGUUGGCUGUAAAGCAAAUGUGAGAAAUUAGGUAGUAUUAAGAGAAGAAUAGAAAGCAAUACUAAAUAUAAUACCAUGAUAUAAAAAGUGUAUACUUGCAUAGAAUACUAUGUCGUUUGUUACUUCAUCUCAGAAAGCAUAUCACGGAGAUGGGAAAAGAUCUAGGAAAGAAUGAUGAAAAUAAAUAGAAGCUUGGAGAAGCAUAUAUAUAAGAAGAGACCUUUAGAGAUUUAAUUUGGAAAGGGAGGAAUAAAAGUCUUUAAUAUAGUGAAUGGUUCAGAGAAGGUAACGUGUCUACUCACAUUUCUGUAUGAUUCAAGACAGAGAGAAAAAUGGGUUCUGUCCAUCUUACUUCUACUGAUGAAGGAAUUGUUUUUUACAUAACAUACAAUUGAUUUGUAGUCUAUACUACAGGUUGCUAUUGACUGACUAAUUCUUUCUAGGUGAAGCUCUCUGGGAAAAUUGCCCAUACUAAAUUUAAAGGACUCCACUUAGGAAACUUUCCUCUGGCUUUUUUAAGCAAAUAUCAUCAUAACCUUUCCUAACUUGAGUGCUAUGCUUUGCACACCACUUUCUUAUAUAGAUGAGGGCAUUUCGUUAGAUACUUAGCUUUAGGUAUGUUCUUUAUGUGGGUUUUAUUUAUGCAAACAGUAUCUUUCAUACCAUAUGCUUAUGUAACAAUCUGUCUAAUUCAUAGUUAGUUACAUAACUCAGGAAUGCAUUAAAUUAAGUUUUACAAAAUAUAUGCUGUUGCAUCCUUUUUUCUUUAAGAAGAGGUCCCCAUCCUAUUCAAGGCUGAUGUUUUUUCCAGAUAGAUACAGAUACAGAUGUAUUCCACAAAAUGCUUAAUGAGGAGAAUCAAUAUUGCUAGUCAUUUUUGAUUUAGUUUCAGAGUUAAACUUGUCACUGAAUAUUGGACAGGAAGAAGAACAAUCCGAGACAGUGUCGUUUGCUAAAAGUACCCUGUUGGAGAGACCAUCAUGAUAUGCAAGGAUGCUAAAAGCACCUCCAUGCCCAGGGAGAACUGCGCUGUGAGAACUGAGCAGAGCAGCUGGAGGCUUUUCAGCGAGCACUACCUUCACGCUGCUGCAGGCCGUGGGUGCCGGGGCAAGGCGAGAGACACUCCAGAGGCUGCCAAACUCCAGGCUGUGACAGGGUAUUUGGCAGCGAUCCCCAACCUCAUCUACUUGUCCAUGUGGUGCUCCUUCCAUUGUGGUGGUUGUUUUUCGUUGGGAUUAGUUCCUGGAUCAGCUUUACCAGAUUAUUGUACUGUAUUCUCACACCCAGCAACACAGAGUUUUCUCAAAGAGCUUGAGGGAGUCUGCCUACCAUUGCUGACAUUGGCAGCAUCACCACAUCUCAGCUUUGGGUGGAUACCACCAGUGAAUCUUCAGCUUGGACCCUGAGCCUCGUGCUUCUUCUCACCACUCCUAGUUAAGGGUUACUUCAUUUACGGCAGUAACAUUGGCUCAAAGAGGACUCUGAGCAGUCGAUUCAGCUUUCCCCAUGCUCUGUUUUAUCACAGAUUAAUUCAGACCUCACCCAAGAUGUGUGUCUGGUAGCUAUGCCAGGCAGUCGCUUUUCUUUUUUAACAAGUAAAGGACUAUAAAAGUUGUAUAACACUUAGAACUGUCUUCUCACUUCCUUUAUAUAGAGACAAACGCAGCUGUUUGUGGUUUCCCCCUCCUCCCCCCAGUACAUUAAUCUGCUAACACUCAGCAAAUGCACCUGGUAUAUGUUUCUGAGAAUGAGGAGCCAACAAUACUGUAUGUGCUCAGUGUACUGGUUUAAAAAGAACACCUGAUAUUUCAAAAUAACAUUCAAAAGUGGCAAAGGCAAAUAACCCUUCCUCCAACUACAAGCCAAACUGAGACCCACUCUAAUUUAAGCCAGGUCUGUAGGUUUUAGUGCGAUGUGUUCCCUAACAGAUCUAAAGAGAUCAGAGGUCUAGAGAUCUUACAGAUUUCUAAAUUUUCAACAAAUACAGCUGUUCCAAACUGUCUAUGGACAACCUCUCAUCCCCAAAAUGUGUUAAUAAUUAAACAUAUUUGUGAAAAAGCAAGUUUCUUUCUCGAUGCACAGGACACUGAAUUUUUCUGAGAGUGCAGUUUCAGACAUGGUGCAUGCACAGCACCUGGACUGACAGCAGUCUGUGGGAUGGCUUGUUCAUAAACUGUUCAGCAUUGGAAGGGCAGUGUUUUAGAGCAUUAAAAGGUGUUAAGUUUUUACCAUUGACUGUGCAGGGCUUAGCAGAAGAAUAACCUUUCAUUCCAUUAUUUUAACUUGCCAAGAAAUAUUGUAAUCAAGGAGACCAAAGCCCCAGCUGCAUUUCUGAUACUGGCCUUCAGCAAGUCACUGUGGUUCAGUAGUUCGUGAGCACCCAAGGAGGAGGGUUACAAAAUACAAGCUGUCUCCCUCAUCUCCGAAUAGAGGAGAUCCUGACUGCUAAGCCUGCACAUAGGCAGUACUCCUGAAAAUGCCCUUAGAGGGUAGGCCUGUUUCACCCAAGCUAGCAGGGUUGGCUGGAACUACACUCCGACACUACUAUGAUUUUCCUUCAGGUGUUGUCCUGGGACACCACCACAAAGGACUGUGUCUGCUGGAGCUUUUACUAGUCAGCCUACCUCCUUCCUCAGCCUGGGACUCAAUACACAGGCUUUAUCCUGUACCUCACUUUCCCAGGGCAUAAACGGAGAGAACAGUUUUCCCCCUUCUUGAAGCAGCUUUCAUUAAUCAACAUUUUAAAGUGUAUUAAAGAUUAGAAAUAAUCCGAGGGAACUAGGGUAGAAGGGAACUAGGUAAUGUUUAGUUUUAUCCUUUAUACAAAUAAAUUUAUGUGACCAGUCUUUGCUCGCUUGAAUAUUAACACUUCUGCUGUUAACCUGAAGAAGUGUUCCACUGAGGCCAAUUAAAUGAGCCUGGUAAUUAAAAAUACUCUAUUAAUUUAAGCACAUGUGCUUGUCUGAAAAUUUUUUAUUCAUAUAUAACUCUACCAAAUUUUCAUGUGAUCAUCUCUGGUAUUCACUAAUAUAAGGACUUUUGUGUCAUUUGUAAAUUGUGCCUUCUUAGAAUUCCUUUUUUUCAGAUCAUUAAUUUAAAAUUCAGGUCUUGAGCCUUUGGA